AUGGAGGAUCAUCUCUCGGUUUUGCUUUGCACGACCAUUUCUGAUGCCAUUGGUGAUCAUGUGCAGAGUUUCCUGAGGUCAUCAGUGUCCAGAGGAGCAAAAGAGUACAGGGAGGAUCGUCUCAGCAAGCUCUACAUAGUUUACCUGGGUGACGUGAAGCAUGGACACCCCGAUCACGUCGUGGCCUCGCACCAUGACAUGCUCACCGAUCUUCCCGGAAGCAAGGAGGAGUCUGUUGCCUCUGUGGUGUACAACUACAAGCAUGGCUUCUCCGGCUUUGCUGCGAUGCUUACAUCGGAGCAAGCAAAGCAACUUGCAGAGUUUCCGGAGGUCAUCAGCGUCGAGCAGAGCAAAACGCACAGCGCAACCACCACAAGGAGCUACUCCAUGGAAGCAACUAUGGAGAGGAUUGUGUUCAGAAAAACUAUGGAGACGAUGUAAUCAUCGGGGUUGUUGACACCGGGAUAUGGCCGGAGUCGAGAAGCUUCAGGGAUGAAGGGUACGGGCCGGUACCGUCAAGGUGGAAAGGAAAGUGUCAACUCGGGCCAUAUUGGGGCAUCAACAACUGCGGCCGCAAGAUCAUCGGUGCACGGUUCUAUAAUGCCGGACUGACCGACGAAAUCCUCAAGGCGGACUCACUCUCGCCCCGGGACCAUAACGGCCAUGGCACACACUGCGCGUCCACCGCGGCGGGCUCAGCCGUGGAGGCGGCCAGCUUCCACGGCCUCGCCAAAGGGGUUGCACGGGGAGGCGCCCCGCGCGCUCGCAUAGCCGUGUACAAGUCCUUAUGGGGCGCUCGCAUGUCGGGCAAUUCGGCCGAUGUGUUGGCCGCCAUCGACGACGCGAUCUACGAUGGAGUGGAUGUGUUGUCGCUGUCCCUUACUGGUGGAGAGAACUCAUUUGGCGCUCUGCACGCAGUUCAGAAGGGGAUCACCGUGGUGUAUGCAGGCGGCAACGACGGGCCCAGACCGCAGACCAUCAGGAACACUUCACCAUGGGCCAUCACCGUUGCGGCGAGCAAGGUUGAUUGGUCGUUCCCGACGGUGAUCACGCUGGGAAACAAGCAACAGAUACUCGGACAGUCUUUCUAUUACCACGUACAGAACUCGUCAAGGAGUAGUUUCGCAAGUCUUGCCUUUUAUGGUGUACCACGUACGGAUGUCCUCAAUGGCAUGGACGUGAAAGGGAUAAUCCUGCUCUGCUUACCCAUACAGCCAAAUGAUCCCGACGCGAUCGCCCCACGGAACACUUUCGCAGAGGCGAAACAAUACGUCCAAAAUGGCGGGGGAUCUGGUCUUAUUUUCGCUCAAUAUACCACGGACGCUCUAAGUGAUUGCAAAGGGAUGUCCUGCGUUCUUGUGGACCUUGACACUGGGGUGAAGAUAGGAAAAUACAUGGACGCUACCAGCUCUCCAGUGGCGAAGAUUGAACCGGCACGCACCGUUACGGGGAAAGAGAUACUAGGGGCAAAAGUGGCAGACAUUAUCAAGCCUGACAUAGCUGCACCUGGAGCCAACAUCUUGGCGGCGGUGGGAGAUUCCUAUGUAAUGUAUUCCGGGACAUCGAUGGCGGCCCCACAUGUAGCAGGAAUCGUCGCGCUACUGAAAGCUUUGCACCAAGACUGGUCUCCUGCCGUCAUAAAAUCUGCCAUCAUCACCACAGCCCAUGUAACGGACGAGCGCGACAUGCCCAUACUAGCGGAAGGAGUGCUGCGGAAGAUGGCAGACCCGUUUGACUAUGGCGGCGGCAACAUCAACCCUGACGGCGCGGCUGAUCCCGGCCUGGUCUACGACAUCGAUCCCCGCGACUAUAACAGAUUCUUUGGGUGCACCAUCGUCAGGAGGACGAACGUGAGUUGUGACGCGACGGCGCUACCGGCAUACCACCUGAACCUGCCAUCUAUCGCAGUGCCUGAGCUGAGGCGCCCGAUCACUGUGUGGAGGACAGUGACGAACGUCGGUGAGGCCAACUCUGUGUACCAUGCAAAAGUCCAGAGCCCAGCUGGAGUCAGGAUCAAGGUCGAGCCGCCAAUGCUUGUGUUCGACGCCACGAACAGAGUUCAUUCAUUUAAGGUGAAGUUGUCGCCUAUGUGGAGGCUGCAAGGGGACUACACCUUUGGCAGCAUUACUUGGCGUAAGGAUCAGAAGACACUAAAGCAAAAAAUAAAGAGAAAAAAACUGGAAGAGGAAUGUUUUUCCCAUGAGCUUCCUUCACCCGGCCGGCCCCUCUCCCGUCCCGAGGACAGGGUGAAGCAGGAUGCCAACGCGUCGGAGAUCAAGAAGGCCUACUACAAGCUCUCCCUCAAACACCACCCGGACAAGAACCCCGACCCGGAGUCGCGCGCGCUCUUCGUCAAGGUCGCCAAUGCCUACGAGGUAUCUGGCAUCUCCUGCACCUUCUUGUCUUUCUUUACAGCUCUGCAUCUCCUGCUUCUAAUGACCGAACUGUUUAUGUUGCCCAAGAUCUGCUGGCCCAAUUCCAUGUAUUAGUUGCCGCGUAUUGCGCACGACCUUUUAGCGCCGUCGCCGAUACUAAAAGAUGAAGAAACUAGGGAGAAGUAUGACUAUGCUGUUGCACAUCCAGAGGAGUUCUUCUACAACACUGCUCAAUACUAUAGGGCUUACUACGGAUAUAAAACGGACACUCGUUCUGUGUUGAUUGGCCUUCUUUUAAUUGUGUCAGCAUUCCAAUACAUAAACCAGUUGACAUCGUAUAGUCAGGCCAUCGAAAGUGUGAAGCAAACUCCUGCCUACAGAAAUAGGUUGAAAGCAUUGGAGUUUGAGCGAACAGGAGGAAUUUCAAGCAAGAAGAAGGGCAACAAGCAGAUGGAUAAAAAGGUUGAAGAUGAGCUUAGAAAUGAAGUCGACUUGCAAAUUCAGGGAGUUCAGAAACCUUCUGUGUGGAAUCUCUGUGGUGUCCAAUUGAUACUUCUGCCUUACUUAAUUGGCAAGCUGCUUAUUUGGCAAAUUUGUUGGUUUUGGAGAUACCGGGUAAAGAAAUCACCAUAUUCAUGGGAGGAUGCUUGCUAUUUGACUCGGACAUCCCUUAGGAUGCCUGCUAACACAUGGCAAAAUAUCGAUGAAUUUACAAAGGAGGAUCUCGUCAUGAAGCGCCUCUGGGAGAAGGCCAACAUGGAGAGGCACAUAGCGGAGGCGAGAAGAGGAUCGAAGCAGCGUAGAAGAUAGCCUGUUGACAGCCCAAUUUUGACUGAAGAUUACGAGAUGAGGCUGUUUAACAGCAUGUCAUGGUAGGAGGACAACUACAUACCCCAGUGGAAAGGGAAGGCAUACAUGAGUCAGGCCUGGGUUCGUCGACCCAUAAACAUGGGACAUUGAUACUGGAGAGACAUAAGAUACAGGGGAUUCUUUUACCAUAUCGUACACCAUGGAGUUAUGUAGUAAUGAUAACAUUUCUUACGUCUAUUUGGAUUCUAUAGAUACAUCUAGUUGGAUGCUAUUUACA